rnacentral:lncRNA from 1 species
UUGACAUAUUCUGUGCCCAUUCCAGUUAAAGUUGGCUUUGCAUAUGAGUUCUUAGAGUUCUCAAUUUGUUGCACAACAACUUGGAAGCAAUGGUAGGCCCUUGAGCUGCCAGGUGGCAAGAAAUUAAGAUUGAGUUCAGUCCAUAUGAGUUUGGAUUUGUCAUUAUCCUUGUCUUGUGACUAUGGUUUUGACAAUUCACAUGGAUAAGAACACAUACACCAUUAAAUCUAAGUGUCAUAAGGUUUCUCUCCGAUUCAUGAAAAUGAUGGUGAGGAAACACUUUCACUAAGUAGAUUUUAGCUAGAUAGCAAUUGUGAUAUUUGCAUUCUCAAAGUCGUUAGUGGAGCGCGUGUGGUUAACCGGCACACUAACUUGGACUUGUGAGAAGUGGCAAAAAGGUCUAAACAUUAUGAUUACGGCAUCCCUCUUCAUAAUUGUUUAGAUACACAAGUGUGCUAUCUAAGGGAAGGUGUAUGAUUUUGAUAAAGUUUUAUCAAAACAAUCUAGCAUCAGAAAUCUGAACUUUGGUAAGAAAGUCAAUGAAGUAUUGAUUUCUAGAAGUCCAGCUGAUUUCUGAGUACAUGUCAAAGCUAGUGGGAGCAUAAGUGUUAUGCUAAUAAUCAUCAUGUUAGUGGGAGCAUGAUAAUUAUGAUAAGUAUUGCAAGUUAGCAAUGUUAAUUAUAGAAAACAAAAGUUUCAAUUGGGAAAAAGUUGUUUUGCUAUAAUUAAGGGAGAGGAAAUUAUACUUCAUCUCAAAUCUAUAAGCUUAGAUCGUGAGGUUUUAAUCAUUUAGUCAAGGAUAUAUAUGAAUUUCAUGUUGGAAUGGCUCAACAUAAGGAAAUUCUGUAUAUGGGUCCAUUAUUUGCGUUCUAAAAUUCGAUUAUGAUUACGGCAUCCCUUUUCAUAAUCUGAAUUAUGAGAACUUGGCAAAUUGAAAUGGAAAUAUUAUAGCAAAAGACUGGUUUAGUCUUUAUGUAAGACAUCAUGAAUCGUGUCCCAUAUGCUUCGGAUAUAGGAUCGAUUACAUGUGCUAUAUUCAUCCGUUCUAAAAUUUUCCAAAUGCCUGGGGCAUUAAGAAGGGAAAAGGUUUAGAACUGGAUAUGACUAAAAGGAUUAAACAAUUGUCGAGGACAAUCUAAGGUUUACCAAAGAUUGGUUGCUCAAGGACAGUUGGAAGUAUAGUGAUAAUUCUGGAAGGACCAUAUUGACAUAAUCUGUAAGGAGGCAACUCUUGUUCAGAAGUGAUAGUCAAAAUGGAAUCUGGAAAUGUUUCAAAGUUAGAAUUUUCAAUCUGUUUAAGAUUAGGAAACUUAAUGCAAGAAGGAUGUUUCCAAGGAGCUGAUCUCCUUUGGAAUACUCUGUAAUGAUUGUUGUCAAGUCUUUCUGACUUUGUGCAUAAUCAUUACAAGAGGAUCAAUGCAUAUAAGUUUAGAAUCUAACAGAUUUCAGUAAAUGGCAUGAAUUUGGAAUUCUUGCAUUUGCAGUAAGGAUUUGGGAGUGUGAAAAGAGAAUCAUUGAAGUUAUGUUCAAUUGAUCUAGUUCACAAAGUAAAGAUCAUAGACAAACAUAGUAUGCAUACUUGGUGUGUGGCAUGACUAGUGUUUAAGAAAACAUAGUGUACAUGCUUGGAGCAUGGGACAACUAUUGUUUUAAAUUCAAGAAUAAAGUUGAUAGCUGAAACAGUAUACAAUGAAUAAUGUGUAAUCAUAUGGUGAUAAAUAAAAGGUGUUUUAUUUAUGUUCAAAGGGUUGAUACCAUAUUGGAUUCAAUUAUUAUUGUGUUUCACUUUGCAUGUUUUGACUUCCCGAAUAAACUAGGUUAUUCUUCCGGAAUGACUAAGUUAUUCAAACCAUCCACAGUCGGUCAUAUGUUGGAAGUAGAUAUGAAUUAAGACUGUCAUGGGUUGGCUUGUAGAGGUCUAAGGUGUUGGACAAAGGGCUACAACACUCAUGAGUGCUCAUAAGUUCUGAGUAUUGGAUUCAACCCGCGCUCAUUGGAAUCACUUCAUGGAUUUUAUCACGAGUGAUCAUGAGACGAUAAUAUCUUAUAUUCUUCAAACCUAGAGAUAUGAGUUGUUACUAUGAGUUGAUAGUACAUUGAUUGCACGAAAACGCAUUUGGUAACUCGGUGCUAUAAAACGUGCCUUUGUGUAUGAUUCAACAAGUAGUAGAACAAGCCAUAUGAGUCGAAGUUUAUCCGUUCCUUUUACCUUCGGGAUAAAAGCGAUAUCUGUGGGCCCCUCGAUGAUUUGAUGAUGACAAAUGGAAGUGCUCGGCCGGGCCAGGACUGAUUUGAUUUGUUCAAUUAGUCAGUCGUCAUAAAUCGGAAAUCGGGAAACAACAAAUGGACAGAGAGAAUGAUUAUAAUCCAUGUCUCAGUCCAUAUGAUAUCUAGAAUGGAGGAAUAUAUGAUCCCUUAUCUAAUGGACAAGUCAUUGACAAAGGUCAGAGUUCAUCUACAAGGUCAGAGUUCGACAGAAGCUUUUGAGAGCUACGAUUGCCAGUUGGUUCCUGAAGUCAUACGCAAUAAUAGUUUUAGACUUAUCCAAGUGGGAGACUGUUGGAUUAAUGUCUAAGUCCAUAACUAUAAUUGGUAAGACUUGACCCGACCCGGCAUGGUCCAUUUGGGUUGCAUACCAUCAUGCACUUGGAUAGACUAUAAUGAGAGAAAUAAGACACUUAUGGUUAUUAAUAUAUUAUAAGUUCUAGUAUAUUAAUAAUAAGAAUAAUAAGAUUAUUUAAUUAGUAUUGAUCAAGAAUUAAUCUAGGAUUAAUUAAGUGAUCAAAAGAAGACUAAUUAAAUAUAUGGGUUGAUUGUGUAAAUCAUCCAUACUUGUAUAGUGGGCUAAUGCUCCAUGGAUAAUCAAGUUGGGCUAAAACCCAUAGGAUGGUCCAUGGAUGCUCCAUGGUGUAUUUGUACCCAUGGAUCCAAGGAAAUGGAAAGCCAUGACAAUUAAGAGUUUACCCUAAUUGUGUAACUAUAUAAGCAUCUUAUUAUUGAGGAAAAAUCGGCCACUAGAGAUAGUGAAGAAAGGGCUAGCCGAUUUUGAUGAGUGUAGAAUUCUCUCAAGUCAUUCUAAGUGUUUUGAUGAUUGUGAUUCCAUUUGAGGUGUCACACUUGGGGCACUAGGCACUCAAGCUUCAUGAAGACUUUCUACACCAAAGAGGUAUGUAUUCUAUCUUGCUAUAGUUAUUGUUUUGUAUGCUAGAUUAGGAUAAUACCUUGGAAGUUCUUAUUUGCAUGUAUAAUAGAGAAAACAUAGAUCCAAGGUAUUUAGGGUUGCAUGUACACUUAGGAAGUGUUAGAAUGCUCAAAACCCAACAGUGGUAUCAGAGCCACGGGUUGUUUUCUGUUAUAUUGAUGCAAAUAUUUUAUUUUCAAAGUUGAAAAAAAAAAAAAAAAAAAACAUGAAGUUUGUCAAAUUUUAAGAUAAUUACUUGUUCUUGUGAAAAACUAAUUAUUUGUAAAAUUUGAAUAAUUUGCUUUAUGAGUUGAAUUAGGUCAAAUUUAAUAAAAGAUAAAAUAAUAUGAUUAUUUUAUUAGUUUUAAAAGUUUGAUCUAAAGAGUUUUAUUUUUUGAAACCUCCAUAAGUUAUGGAUAUGAAAAGGUUUUAAAAAAAAAAUUGAUUCAAAGUUUUUUUGGAGUUACAAAAUUUGGUGUUAAUGUUUUAAAGGAUUCCAUAACUUAAGAAUAAGUUAUGGAUCACCAAAAGUUUUUUGUGUUACCUUGUUUUAUGAGUGAAUUUAGAUUAAUGAAUAAAAUUAUGUGAUAGUUGGUUUUAAUCCAAAUUAAUCUAAGAAUUGAUUCUAAAAUGUGUUUUUGUAACUUGUCCUCAAGUUAUAUGAAAAGUCACAUUUAAGAAUCAUAAAACUCAUAAAAAUUGGCAAAGGUUACAAAAAUGAAGAGUCUAGUUCUAAUUAAAUGGUUUUAUGACUCCAUAACUUGUCCUCAAGUUAUGGAGGACCAAGAGUCUCUUCAUUUAAUAAAAUAAAAUAAAAAAAAAAAAAGUGUAACCUUAAUUAAUUCCAUAAGUUAUAAAAUAAAGAAAAGUUAAUUCUUUUAUUAGUUUAAAGUCUUCCAUAACUUGUCCUCAAGUUAUGGAACUUGAAGAGUUUUUGGAUUAAAACUACUUUAAACACAUAAGUUAUGGAAUUAAUUAGUUUUGAAUAGUUUCAAAACUUGCCCUCAAGUUUUGGAAUUUGUAAAGUUUUCACUUAUGAAUACUUUAAUUCCAAGUUAGCCCUUAGAAUUUUAAAAGUUAAAAUUCAACCCUUAUACUUUAUAAUAUUAUAAGUUAAUAAUAUAUAUAUGUAUAAGAGUAAAGUCAGUCUUACCGCUAGUACGCCUCAUUCACGAAGCCGGUCUAUAAGGUGGGUAUAAGGUUGUUGCCUAUAAAAUGGCAACUUAAUGGGUGUCCACUCUCACCCACCGCUUGCUUGACUGGUGGAGGGUCGUUAGCCGAACGGGUUUGACAGGACUAGAAUUCUCCCUUCAUUAAAAGUAUUAAUGAUAAUACUAAGUAACUAAACUCUUAAUAAUACCCAAUCUUAGUUACUUAGGAAAAAUGUGAAUAAGGUGCUAAUCCAUGAAAUUACACUUUACACUUUGUCUAAGUCGUUAGUGGAGCGUGUGUGGUUAACCGGCACACUAACUUGGACUUAACAAGGUAGGUAAAGGGUGACUUAAUAUUUAUCAUAGUAUCGAUGGAGCGUGUGUGGUUAACCGGCACAUCGAUUGAGGGGUAAUUUAUUAAGGGUACCAAGUGAUUUGCAUGGUUACUUCACACCUUGUUUUGUGAUCCUCGGCAUCCCAGUCACAAAACCUGAAGGGCACACUCGAGAUUGAAACAUGCCUUUGAACAGUUCAAUGAAUCUCAAAGAUCUAGGAGUUUCAAAACCAAUUAAAACCUAAUAAUACAUUUCGUUUAUCUUGGUGGAAAUUGGUGAAUCGUCAUUCACCUACCUUCAAAUAUUUUAUAGCUUGGAUUACGGCAUACCUCUUCUAAGUUAUAAAAUAGUUUGUUGGGUCCUAGCCUUAAUAUUUCAUAUUGGGUGUCAUAUUAAGGACUUUAAAUCAACUAUCUUGAAUAUCUCCCAAAAGAUGUCUGGUUUAGACACCUAUGAUCUUCCCAAAUCUCUUGAAACAAGGUUUCCUAAUGAAGAUGAUGUCCCAUGGAUAUCAUACUUCUUUCUCCUCCUCCAAUUAUUCUCCCUAACCCACAAGUUCUUGAAAAGUUUAAGGUCACUCAAGCCCUAUUGGCAAGGCAAGGUCUAGGUGUGAUCACAUCUUGGAGAUGUAGUCACAUAUUGACAAGCCGGGAGAGUUGGGUGUCAAAGUCUUGAGAAAGUUGGUGGUUCAAUCACUUUCUAAGUCACAUAGUGAGUUCCUUUGGGACACCUAUGAAACAGACUAUGACAAGACCCUUAAUGAUCUUAUCUAUUUGCUAAGAUCAACUUCCUAAAACUUUAUGGACAUUGACAAUGAUGACAUUGGAUAUCCAGUAAAGCAUUCUCUUCCCAAUGGAAAGGGAUCGGCCAUAGUCAACUCGGUUGACCAAAUGGUAAAGAGAAAAGCUAAGUCUGUGAUAGUCUCGUGUACCAUUAUCAAAGGGUCCAUAUGUUUAUAUUGCCAAAGGAAGGGGCAUUGGUUGCGAAGCUGCCAAAUUUACCUAAGGAUGUUAAAGUCAAUAAGUUUGACUCUACUUCAGGUAAAGUCCACUAUCUAACUCUGUUAAGUUUCUAUUCUGAGAUUCCUGAUACAUGAUGUGACUGGGUCACAUGGUGAUGUUUUAAGAAUCAAAGAAAAGUGAAGAAACUUAAAGAAAGAAUAUGCUGAAUCUGAUGGCGUAGAUGGAUUUCUAUCGCAUAGUUUGAAGAUCGGAUUCUUGAGCAACUUCUUAGGAGUUAUGAGAUAUUGCUUAGGAAUAGAUAACAACAAGUUUUCAUAUGGAUUGUAAGGAUAAGUUUUUCCGCAAAGUUUUAAAAUAAAAGAAAAAUUUUUUGAUUUUAUUUAUUUUAAAAUAUCCUUACAAUGGCUUUUGAGGAAAAAUUGUUGCUUAUAUGAUUCCAUUAAGAGCAAGAGUGGAAAUAUGAAAUUGAUUCUUUCAUUUGUGGUAAUGUCUAGAUUUACCAAAUAAGGAAAGAUUCUCAUCACCCAAGUUUCAAUUGGACCGGAACUUGGAAUCAUGCAAGUUGUAUAGCAUGAUGAAUGAGAACUUUCAAGUUUUGGAAAAUUAAGACUAAUUACUCGGCCACAUGGAUGUGUGAGUCAAGUAAAGGACUAAGGGAUCGAGUACACAUUCUUGUGCACUGAUUAAGUCCACCACAAAAGAUUGAUAAGACUAUUCGUCAUAGUUUACUAAAGCUCAGUAAAUAUGAUUAUACUUACAAGCUUAAGUGUAACUCUGAGACAUUGGAAAAGGUUCCAAUGUAUGGCAGGGCGAAUAAGAAGAAUCAAAUUAGGCAGAAGGAUAAAAGUUUCUCAAAUCUGAAAAGAUGGGAGAGUACUUUAGUAUCAGUUUUGUGAUCAUCUUAAUGAUUAAGAAACCAUAUCAAAAUUAGUUCUCUAAGGAAAUCUUAGUGCAUUCUUAUGACUAAGAAGAGGAACUUGAAUUGUUGAAAUGGUUAAAUCAAGAAGAUGAGUCAUACUUCGUUCCAAUACAAGUCUUAGAGUCAUACUCCAAGAUUGUCAUUUGAGUGACAUGUCUUAAAGAAGGUUUAAAACACUUGUCAAAUGUAAGAGUAAAAGUUUUCUACUCUUGUACAUUUGAAAUUGGUAAGUUGUGAUGUUUUGGAUAAAACAAAGACCAACUUAGGCCAAUUGGGUAAAGUGUUUUUCUUGAUUAGAAUCCGCACUAUCUCUUGGAUGUUUGACAAGGGAGUCUUAUAUGUCAAGAGGACAGUGGGAGUCUUAAAGGUCUUGAAAGUCUCAAGAACUAAUCAAGAAUAAAACCUGAAGUUCUUCACUAGCACACGACUUGAGGUUUAUAACCUAUCGUGUUGACAUAUCUGUGCCCAUUCCAGUUAAAGUUGGCUUUGCAUAUGAGUUCUUAGAGUUCUCAAUUUGUUGCACAACAACUUGGAAGCAAUGGCAGGCCCUUGAGCUGCCAGGUGGCAAGAAGUUAAGAUUGAGUUCAAUCCAUAUGAGUUUGGAUUUGUCAUUAUCCUUGUCUUGUGACUAUGGUUUUGACAAUUCACAUGGAUAAGAACACAUACGCCAUUAAAUCUAAGUGUCAUAAGGUUUCUCUCUGAUUCAUGAAAAUGAUGGUGAGGAAACACUUUCACUAAGUAGAUUUUAGCUAGAUAGCAAUUGUGAUAUUUGCAUUCUCAAAGUCGUUAGUGGAGUGCGUGUGGUUAACCGGCACACUAAUUUGGACUUGUGAGAAGUGGCAAAAAGGUCUAAACAUUAUGAUUACGGCAUCCCUCUUCAUAAUUGUUUAGAUACACAAGUGUGCUAUCUAAGGGAAGGUGUAUGAUUUUGAUAAAGACUUAUCAAAACAAUCUAGUAUCAGAAAUCUGAACUUUGGUAAGAAAGUCAGCUGAUUUUUGAGUACAUGUCAAAGCUAGUGGGAGCAUAAGUGUUAUGCUAAUAAUCAUCAUGUUAGUGGGAGCAUGAUAAUUAUGAUAAGUAUUGCAAGUUAGCAAUGUUAAUUAUAGAAAACAAAAAAUUUCAAUUGGGAAAAAGUUGUUUUGCUAUAAUUAAGGGAGAGGAAAUUAUACUUCAUAUCAAAUUUACUUCUUCUUGCAAGAUAAAAAUGAAUGUGUAUAACUAUUUUAGUGGUUACAAGGGUGCAGUAGAGAAAAAGAACAAGUGAAUGAACUUAUGAAUGGAUUUUUGUGAUAUUUUAUAAUCUAUUUUCGCUAGAAAAAGACAGAUUCUAACGGUGUAUUUCUGACAACAAUUCUCCCGGAAUGGAAUCUCGAAUUAUAGCUCCGACAGAAUGGAAUCUUGAAUUCUAUGUCAACUUAAGUAAGGAAUUACCAUACACAACACGUAAUGGUAUGUCGUAAUUUCACUUACCUAUCAUUUUGGCUAUU